rnacentral:rRNA from 1 species
GUAGGCGGCGAGUGCUAUACAUGCAGUCGAACGCGUUGGCCCAAUUGAUUGAUGGUGCUUGCACCUGAUUGAUUUUGGUCGCCAACGAGUGGCGGACGGGUGAGUAACACGUAGGUAACCUGCCCAGAAGCGGGGGACAACAUUUGGAAACAGAUGCUAAUACCGCAUAACAGCGUUGUUCGCAUGAACAACGCUUAAAAGAUGGCUUCUCGCUAUCACUUCUGGAUGGACCUGCGGUGCAUUAGCUUGUUGGUGGGGUAACGGCCUACCAAGGCGAUGAUGCAUAGCCGAGUUGAGAGACUGAUCGGCCACAAUGGGACUGAGACACGGCCCAUACUCCUACGGGAGGCAGCAGUAGGGAAUCUUCCACAAUGGGCGCAAGCCUGAUGGAGCAACACCGCGUGAGUGAAGAAGGGUUUCGGCUCGUAAAGCUCUGUUGUUAAAGAAGAACACGUAUGAGAGUAACUGUUCAUACGUUGACGGUAUUUAACCAGAAAGUCACGGCUAACUACGUGCCAGCAGCCGCGGUAAUACGUAGGUGGCAAGCGUUAUCCGGAUUUAUUGGGCGUAAAGAGAGUGCAGGCGGUUUUCUAAGUCUGAUGUGAAAGCCUUCGGCUUAACCGGAGAAGUGCAUCGGAAACUGGAUAACUUGAGUGCAGAAGAGGGUAGUGGAACUCCAUGUGUAGCGGUGGAAUGCGUAGAUAUAUGGAAGAACACCAGUGGCGAAGGCGGCUACCUGGUCUGCAACUGACGCUGAGACUCGAAAGCAUGGGUAGCGAACAGGAUUAGAUACCCUGGUAGUCCAUGCCGUAAACGAUGAGUGCUAGGUGUUGGAGGGUUUCCGCCCUUCAGUGCCGGAGCUAACGCAUUAAGCACUCCGCCUGGGGAGUACGACCGCAAGGUUGAAACUCAAAGGAAUUGACGGGGGCCCGCACAAGCGGUGGAGCAUGUGGUUUAAUUCGAAGCUACGCGAAGAACCUUACCAGGUCUUGACAUCUUGCGCCAACCCUAGAGAUAGGGCGUUUCCUUCGGAACGCAAUGACAGGUGGUGCAUGUCGUCGUCAGCUCGUGUCGUGAGAUGUUGGAUAGUCCCGCACGAGCGCACCUGCUACUAGUGCCAGCAUUAAGUUGGGCACCUUCUAGGUGGAGAACUGCCG